rnacentral:lncRNA from 1 species
GUAAUAGGACAGAAAUAAACUUUUACAUGCCUCGAUUUUUUUUUUUUUAAUCGCAGAUUUUAUCCCAUCCUGGGGCAGUUUGCUGUGUCUUCUCUUGAAUCAGCAGGAAGUCAUUUUAUUCACGCAUCCCUGCCCAGCACGCCGCACACUAGGUGCUCGGUGCGUGUCGGUGCACUGGGUUCUCUUGGGCCAACAUUUAUGCCCGGUGCUGUUUGUGCUAAGGCCUCACACGCACUCACUCCUUGAAGGUGCUGAUACCGUCUUGCAGCCCCUUGGCCUUCUGCAUGUCUGCUCUGCUCACACCUGUUCUCUGAGCCCAGGACCUGCGGGGCGCUGGGGAAAUCCUGCGUGGUCCACUCAUUGGUUCGUGUGCCCCCAGCCAGACCAUGCCCCGUUGGAGGAGAAAACUCCAGAAGGCUGAGUAGCUGUCUUAUCCAGAAAGAAUAUGACCAUGAGGAAAAUCAAGAUCUUUGUGUUGGAAGGCACUCAAGAGAUUAUCUUGAGCAACUACUGCCUUUGAGUUGGAAAACAAGACAAGGAUGGUCAGUCACCACUUCAAUCAAUGUUAUACUGGAAGUUCUAUGCAUCUCAAUAAAGAAAAAAAAAACAUAAGGGUAAGAUUAAGAAAAAGAGAAACAAACUUUAAAUAUGUACAAAUAAUGUUAUAUGAAUAAAAAUCCAAGAGUCUACUAAUAUUAUUAGACUAGUAAGAAAGUUUUGCAAGAUUGCUGGGUAUAAAAUUAAAAUAACCAAAAUGAAUUUUUUAAGUACAUGGACAGUAGCAUGAGAAAAUUAAAUUUUUAAAAGAGUGAUCAUUUACAUUUGCAACAGAAAUGAGGAAUUUAUGAAUGAGUCUAACAAAAUGUUAGACUUUUUUUUUUUCAGAAAAUGAGGAAUUAAGCAGAAAUUUUAUUUCCAAACUCAUCAAAGAUUAUUACAAACACAAAUAAAAUAUCCUUUUAAAAGUGUCCUGAAUUAAAUCAAAGGCACAUCAUUAAAGUAAAACAUUUGUGACAUUAAAAAUUCAUUUAGGUUGUAGUAUUUUCCAUUAUUUUGUUUUUAAUCAUUUGCAAUGUUCUGAAGAUCACAUUGAAACAUCUUUUUUUGAAGACAUGAAAUAAUGUAGUUAGGUUUUGUUUUUUUUUGUUUGUUUGUUUGUUUUAAGUACAACCACAACUAUAAAGUAGAGGAGCUUAAGACAAAGAGCAAAUCUGCUUCAUACACAGGAUGGGGCAAUCUAAUAUACAACACAACAUGAAUCUUCCCAAACAAGUUUGCUUGGAAACAGCUCCCAUGCUUAGUGUUAACAAAUAAAACGAUCUCAUUUAGAAAAAUCAGGGCACCAUUUGACUAAUAAAGCCUAUUCUUCCCCUAAUUUCAUACUUGCUUAUUUUCAUUUAGAAAGUGUUACACCCACAAGAAAAGAAUAAGUUUCUUUAUGGAAAUAAAAAUCUUAGGAACAAAUUAAUGAAAUACUCAAUUUUCUUAUAAAGACUUAUUUAUUUAUUUUAGAGACAGAGACAGAGAGUGCACAAGAAAGAGAAGGAGAAGCACAGGGAGAGGGACAAGCAGACUCCCCACUGAGUGCAGAGCCUGACUCAGAGCUGGGUUCCACAACCAUGGGAUCAUGACUUGAGCCAAAAUCAAGGUGUAGGCUUAACCGACUGCACCACCCAGGUGCCCCAAAAUACUUAAUUUUUUAAUGAACAAAAAUGUUUCCCUUCUCAAAAUGUAAACAUCCAGUAAAUAAAACAAACAUAAUAUUCAAUGUAUAAAAACACUAGUACUUUGCUUAUGAAAGAGAUGUAUGUAUUUGGUGGUAACGUUUCUUGUUUGUCUUAAAUAUAAAAGCACCUGCCAAAAGAAUCAGGCCAUUAUUAUUUAAAGUCUCCUCCUUCAUCCAUUUCCUUAUCUGAGUAGAAAUUCAUCCAUUUCUGUAGAAUUUUGGCUAUAGGACCAGUCCACAGGAAAGGUCUGAAAUAUCUAAAAGUAAUUUGGCUAGAGAAGUUUUUCUUGAGACUUGGAGGUAGUCACUCAUCACUUUAUGCUUAAAAGCAUUCCUCAGCAAACUUUUCCCCAGCUUUUAGGAUAAAGCACAGGAUCGGGGCUCCUGGAAGAUGUUUCUUCCAGCUGGAACACCUACCAGCAGAGCAUCUUUACAGGCACUCUGCAUGCUGUACUGUUGAAGCUCUGCAGCUGUCUACAAGACCUUGAUCCUCUCCAUGCCGGCCUCCAGCUUGAGCAGCUUCACCAGGCGCUGCAGGGCAUUCACACUGGCCCCAGAAGACAUGGCAGUGGCAUGGGGCUCCAAGGGCCUGUAUACCAGACUUCUAUAAAAAACUACUAAACUUUGUUGAGAGACAUUAAAGGAUGCUUUAAGAAAUGCAGAGGUAUACUAUAUUCAUGGAUGGAUGAGUCCUCAUUGUAAAUAAAGAUGUCAUUUUCAGACAUUUACAUAUGGAUUCAAUGCAUUCCCAUCAAAAUCCCAACACAUUAUUGCAUGUAGGAUUUGAUAAGCUUAUUGUAAAUUUCAGGAGAGUGCAAUAAGAAUAAGAAUAAAAACAAAGUGAAGGAAUUGCCCUACCAGGAAUUAUGACUUACCUUAAAAUCAUAGUAAUCCAGACAGUGUGUCAUUGGCACAGAUGUAGAGAAAUAGAUCAGUGAAACAGAAGAGAGAGCCCAUGAACAGAUCCAAAAUAAAACCUUUAAAACAAACAAGUUGCCUUAGUCUUUUGUAUGAAAGAGGAGAGUAGAGACAUUGGAAUGGAGUAGGAGACAACUGAGACCAAUUUUUAUCCUUUUACUGAGGAGGAAAAAAAUAUUUAAUUUUUUUGUUGUAUAAGGAAUACUGCCUACAGAUUACCUAUAACAGUUGCCUGGCAGUUGAUUUGUCUUGUUCUGUUUUUCCUUUAUAACAAUUGAUAACAUUCUUCUCUCUCUCUUUUUUUUAGGUUUUAUUUAUUCAUGAGAGACACAGAGAGAGGCAGAGACACAGGCAGAGGGAGAGGCAGCCUCCCUGCAGAGAGCCUGAUGUGGGGGACUCCAUCCCAGGACCCCGGAAUCAUGACCUGAGCCAAAGGCAGAUGCUCAACCGCUAAGACACCCAGGCUCCCCAAUAACAUUCUUAUUAUUUCAUUUAUAAUUUAUAAUUACUUAUGUAUGCUUACCCAACAGAAAGUGUGCCCUUGAGGGCAAGGCCUGAGUUUUUACAAUUGACCCAGUAGAGCAGAGUGCCUGACGCAUUGUAGAUACUCAAUUAAAAGUCCCUUGGAAGAGCAGACUCUAGAUGAAUGGAUAGAUAGACAGGUGGACAGAUAGAGCUCUUAAUGGUUGCAGGUGUCUCAGAGGAUUUUAUUUUCAGAAUGAGUGAAGAGAUGUUUAAAGCCAAACAUGUGAAUGGAGUGGGUUUAUACGUGUAAAUGUGCUAGUAUGGUAAAAACAGAUGAAAGCAUAUUUAGUGAUUUAGUGAGUGGGACAGCGCAUACUGUAUUUUGAAUACUCAGUGAUGUGCCCAUCUAAUUAUGCUGCAAGGACUUGCUUCUGGGACUUGCCAGCCACACAGAGCCUGCUGCUUCCUUGCACAGCUUUGGGGCAAUUACUCACUUUGUGUUUUAGGUAAAUAGGGCUCCCAGAGUGGUGUGCGAUGAGGAGGCUCAGAACUGGUCUCUGCUGGGGAGGCUGCAGAGCAAAGGGCAC